CAAUAACGUAUAUUAAUGUUGUUGCAGUUAAAAAGCUCGUAGUUGGAUAUCUGACAAGAGAGGACGGCCCGCCUUCGGGAUGAGCGCUGGAAUCUUGCGUCUAUCUUUCGGUGGUUGUCGCUUAUCCUUUAUUGGACGAGUGUUCACUUCCGGAUCAGUUACUUUGAAUAAAAACGGGUGUUCAACGCAGGCUUAUGCCUUGAAGUAUGCAGCAUGGAAUAGCAACCAUAGGACUAUAGUGUUCUAUUUGUUGGUUCUGGGACCUUAGUAAUGAUUGAUAGGGACAGUUGGGGGUGCUGCUAUUCCGCGGCCAGAGGUGAAAUUCUCAGAUUCCCGGAAGAGCAACUUAUGCGAAAGCAUUCACCAAGGAUGUCUUCUUUAA
rnacentral:rRNA from 1 species